UACGUAGGCAGCGAGCGUUGUUCGGAAUUACUGGGCGUAAAGCGUGCGUAGGCGGUGCCUCAAGUUUGGUGUGAAAUCUCCCGGCUCAACCGGGAGGGUGCGCCGAAAACUGAGGUGCUCGAGUGUGGGAGAGGUAAGCGGAAUUCCUGGUGUAGCGGUGAAAUGCGUAGAUAUCAGGAGGAACACCGGCGGUGUAGACGGCUUACGCUGGUACCGAUAACUGACGCUGAGGCACGAAAGUGUGGGGAGCAAACAGG
rnacentral:rRNA from 1 species